UUUGGCCCACGGCCCUCAGUCAGGUUUGGCCCUUGUAAGGAAAAUGUUUGGGCACCAAUGAAUGUUCUAGUCUAUCUGAGGAGGUAACUUUUAGCAUAUGAUAAUGCAUGCUUGCACAAAGUCAGACCACAUAUUAUAAUGUUUGUCUUCAAUCAAUCAAUUUAAACAAAAGAGAUGGGGACUUUAUAAUAUAAUAAGGGUCCAUAUAUCACAGUGAAAAAAGACAUACAUGUAUUUUUACUUUAACAUGAACUAAUGCUGAGUUACAGCAUAUCCUAAUAAUAAACUAUUGAAGAGUCAUCAUUAACUACGACAUGUUUUUCAUUGUUAGUUAAUGCAGUCAUUUACAAUAAAUUAAUUUGAGUUCAUGUUGUAGUUAAGUAAGUUCAGUAAGUUACAUGUCUUAACUCAGCAUUAGUUUAUAUUUACUAAUAUUUAAGUAAGAAUUCAUUUAGGUAUACGUUCAAUGUUUCCAAUGAUGAGCAGUUAAUCCACUAAACCCAGAGAUAAUUCCUGAGGCAUGUUUAAAGAGUUUUGUAUUUCAUCAAGAAGGUGCUGCUGAUUCACAAAGAUUUUAUAUUUAAGAAAAUCUGAGCAUCAUUCCAAAUAACUGUUAACAUGUUUGUCAACUAAACAUGUUUUGUAAACGUAAUAAACUUUAUAAAAAUAUUUUUUAUUUUUUAUUAAUAAUCAAGUAUAAAGAACAAUGCAUAGUGUGAAAACGCGGAUUAUAAAAAGUAUAUUAAAGAAAAGGACUACAUUUCCCAGAAUGCACCUGCACCUACUCAUCUGCCCCCACCCUUCAGGUGCGACUGCUCAACCUAUGGGCUUGACGGGAAAAUUCAAAAUCGCGAACCGUUACUGCCUGGACUACUCCGUCUCUUGUUUGUUUGUUUGCUCAUUAACAGUAAGGUAAGUUUGAUUUAAUUCAUUUGUCUGCAUCGCGCUGAUCGGUUGCCUAUUUGUUCAUAUUAUGUUAUUAACUAUGAUUCGUUUUUGUCUUUAUACUAGAACUGUUUGAAUUUAAAGCACAAACAGUAAAACAUUAAGGUUAUACGUGGUACACAGCGGUAAACAUGAGGUUAAAAAUACGCGAAGUAACAUUCAAACCGGGCUGUUAAAAGAAUCAAUUCGAUGUUUAAAUUUUUAAAAACAAAACUUUAAAGAAGCCAAGAUGAGACGUUAUUUGCUUAAAACAAACAAAACAACAGUAACUCGUGUGUUUGAAAUGUUAGCAGCUAGCAAGUGUCUCUCUGCUAUUUUAAAUGGUACAGACGAUCUUUUGUUGUUUUAAAAGCUCAUUCAGUUCUGGUAGAUGCUGCUUAUUUUUCAAGACUGUUUUAAUAGCUUUAUAUUGAUUUGUAACAAAGCCAGCUUCACUUUAAGAGAACCUAGAUGCUAAUUGUAAAGAAGCUUGGAGUCAUAAUAUAUUUAAACGUUAUAUGUUUGCUGUUCUUCAUCUUUUUAAAUAUGAAGUCUAUACAUGUUUGUGUUUACAGAGGUCAUGUACACUGUGGUCAACUUUGUGGACGAUGAAGAGGUUUCUGGGUAAAGCUGAUAGAAAUAUAAUGAAGUAACAGUGAAAGCUAAAACAUCAGACUGAUCCAGACACUGAAGAAAUUGAUGUCACUGCAAUCUGGCCAAAAUGAUACAACUAUAUUGAAGUAACCUACUGUAAUGAAGCUGCAGAACAACACAGAGACUCUGAGGACAUCAACACAGAAAAUGAAGGCUCCAAAGAGAUGUCUGUCCAGAUGAGGGUGCAUCAACGUUACCUUUGCUGACAAGUAUAUGCUUUACAAUGUAAAACCUAACAGUUAACUUAACUCAAACCAUUUAAGGAAAUCGGUUGCCUUAACCCAUUAAGUUUAAAAAAAAAAACAUACAUUUGAGUACUGUGAACUUAAGUCUUGUGCAAUAAUGCACUUAUAUUUAGUUAGUGUGAACUUAAAUAUAAGUGCAUAACUGCAUGUGACUCAAUUUGUUUAAGUUCACAGUACUCAAAUCUAUGUGUUUUAAAACUUAAAUGGUUUAAUGCAACCGGUUUUCUUAAAUGGUUUGAGUUUAGUUAACUUUUAGGUUUUACUGUGAGAAAUUCUUGAAUAAUUCCAAGACAGAGCUCUGCAAUUGUAUCUACACUGCAAAAAAUCAGUUUCUAACUUAGGAUUUUUAUCUUGUUUUUAGUAGAAAAACUAAAAAUUCUUAAAUCAAGAUGUAUUUUCUUGAUGAGCAAAAUUACCUAAGAAAAUGUCUAGUUUUUAGACAAAAAUAUACAAUUUAAGUAAAUUUGUGCCUAAACAAGCAAAAAUAUCUAACAAUGGGGUGAGAAAAUUGUGCUUGAAUUAAGUUUUUAAGAAAAAAGAAAACUUAAGAUUUUUUCUCACACCAUUGGCAGAUAUUUUUGCUUGUUUUAAGCACAAAUUCACUUAAAUUGUGUGCAUUUAUUUAUUUUGUCUAAAACUAGACUUAUUUUCUUAGGUCAUUUUGUUCAUCAAGAAAAAGCAUUUUAUUUAAAUAAUAUUUCUACUGAAAGCGAGACAAAAAUACUAUGUAAGAAAGUCAUUAUUUUGCAGUGUAGGACUGAUUUCUUGAACAACAACUAUAUUGAUCUUGCUUUAUUUUAUUUAAAUAUUUACUACAUUACAGUGGCAGGUGGUGACUUCUUUUUUUGUGAGCACUCGAUGCAAAGUUUGUCACAACAUGUAUAUAGCCAGUCAUUUGUGUGGUUCAAAAUAUGUGUUCUGUGUGUAUGUGCAUCACGUGUUUUGACUAAACCCGUGAUGCACAUGGUUUACAUGAAGCAACAAACACAUUUUAAAAACACAAGCAACACACAUGACACUCCGAACACUUAUUUUGAAUUUGCACCCCUCGGAUGAGCAGUCACGAGCCGCCACUGCUACAUUACAUUGUACUGCUUUGAAUGUAAUUUUUAUUGUUGCUUUUAUUUUGUUUUAUUUUACUCUAAUAUUGCUUUCUCUGUCUGUAUAUUUAUGAGUUUAAAUAGUAUUGUUUAUGUAUGCAACUUUUAAUAUUUGUGUAUAAUAUUAUUUUGUUAUUGUGACAAUUGUGAAUUGUUCAGUUUUUUAUUAAAUAAACAUUUCAAACUCAAUUCAAGUUUUUUAUUUUACAUAAGGGUUUUGGGGUGUAUAUGAAUAUAAAUAUGAAUAUAUAUAUAUAUAUAUAUAUAUAGUGGGGGGGUUUUUAGUCUAUCUGCAUAGCAGGCAAAUAACCAAUCAAGUCACUAAGCUAUGAGGGCUUGGGUUGGGCUUAAUACAAAGUGUAACCAAUCAAAUAAUCUCAACUGGAAAGUUUCAAAGUUGUGUCCCAAUAGUUGUCAGAGUUUUGGGAGGGGGUUUUAAAAGCAACCAAUCAGUGUUGAGAUUAAACACCAAUGGAGACACUAGAAUUGUGCAAAGGUGUGAAAUCCCAGUACCUCUGCAGGUGUGAAAAUGUCCCCUGACAAAAUCUUCAAUGGGAUUAUUUGCCAUGGCAACAAAUGGCUGCAUGUACCACAGGAAUAUCCCAUCAGCAAGAUACAUCCGAAUUGGUAUCAUUACGGGAGUUUCCUAACUUGGUGGAAUUAGAAGUUUACCCUCAGUGGAACUAGUAGAUACAUCCGAAAAUCAGUGGUGUUUACAGGAGUUUCCUAGUACGGAUACACCUCUUUUCA